CCGCUUGCUGGCAAAAGAUUUUAAGAAUAACUGCGAGUCUGGUGGGAUACGUAUUUGCGAUCUUUUUGGAACCGUCAUCUGCACCUGGCUUAGAAUUUAAAGAUCCUUCUGGAUGUUCUGGUUAUGUUGGGCCGGGCUUGUUCGUCUGUGUAACGUCGGCGAGCCUGUAUGAACCAGCUAGCAAGCGUUAUUUUUUGGGACUUGGUUCCUUCCUAAUUUCUGAAAAUGCGUCUUGAUUCCUCAAGC